ACAGGGUGACAGCCCCGUACACAAAAAUGCACAUGCUGGGAGCUCGAUGAGUAGGGCGGGACACGUGGUAUCCUGUCUGAAUAUGGGGGGACCAUCCUCCAAGGCUAAAUACUCCUGACUGACCGAUAGUGAACCAGUACCGUGAGGGAAAGGCGAAAAGAACCCCGGCGAGGGGAGUGAAAAAGAACCUGAAACCGUGUACGUACAAGCAGUGGGAGCACGCUUAGGCGUGUGACUGCGUACCUUUUGUAUAAUGGGUCAGCGACUUAUAUUCUGUAGCAAGGUUAACCGAAUAGGGGAGCCGAAGGGAAACCGAGUCUUAACUGGGCGUUAAGUUGCAGGGUAUAGACCCGAAACCCGGUGAUCUAGCCAUGGGCAGGUUGAAGGUUGGGUAACACUAACUGGAGGACCGAACCGACUAAUGUUGAAAAAUUAGCGGAUGACUUGUGGCUGGGGGUGAAAGGCCAAUCAAACCGGGAGAUAGCUGGUUCUCCCCGAAAGCUAUUUAGGUAGCGCCUCGUGAAUUCAUCUCCGGGGGUAGAGCACUGUUUCGGCAAGGGGGUCAUCCCGACUUACCAACCCGAUGCAAACUGCGAAUACCGGAGAAUGUUAUCACGGGAGACACACGGCGGGUGCUAACGUCCGUCGUGAAGAGGGAAACAACCCAGACCGCCAGCUAAGGUCCCAAAGUCAUGGUUAAGUGGGAAACGAUGUGGGAAGGCCCAGACAGCCAGGAUGUUGGCUUAGAAGCAGCCAUCAUUUAAAGAAAGCGUAAUAGCUCACUGGUCGAGUCGGCCUGCGCGGAAGAUGUAACGGGGCUAAACCAUG
rnacentral:rRNA from 1 species